GUGGGGAAUAUUGGACAAUGGGCGCAAGCCUGAUCCAGCCAUGCCGCGUGAGUGAUGAAGGCCUUAGGGUUGUAAAGCUCUUUCAGUGGGGACGAUAAUGACGGUACCCACAGAAGAAGCCCCGGCUAACUUCGUGCCAGCAGCCGCGGUAAUACGAAGGGGGCUAGCGUUGUUCGGAUUUACUGGGCGUAAAGCGCACGUAGGCGGAUCGUUAAGUCGGGGGUGAAAUCCUGGAGCUCAACUCCAGAACUGCCUUCGAUACUGGCGAUCUUGAGUCCGGAAGAGGUGAGUGGAACUCCUAGUGUAGAGGUGGAAUUCGUAGAUAUUAGGAAGAACACCAGUGGCGAAGGCGGCUCACUGGUCUGGUACUGACGCUGAGGUGCGAAAGCGUGGGGAGCAAACAGGAUUAGAAACCCCAGUAGUCC
rnacentral:rRNA from 1 species